rnacentral:rRNA from 1 species
AUUGAACGCUGGCGGCAUGCUUUACACAUGCAAGUCGAACGGUAACAGGCCGCAAGGUGCUGACGAGUGGCGAACGGGUGAGUAAUGCAUCGGAACGUGCCCAGUCGUGGGGGAUAACUACUCGAAAGAGUAGCUAAUACCGCAUACGAUCUAUGGAUGAAAGCGGGGGACCGUAAGGCCUCGCGCGAUUGGAGCGGCCGAUGUCAGAUUAGGUAGUUGGUGGGGUAAAGGCUCACCAAGCCAACGAUCUGUAGCUGGUCUGAGAGGACGACCAGCCACGCUGGGACUGAGACACGGCCCAGACUCCUACGGGAGGCAGCAGUGGGGAAUUUUGGACAAAGGGCGCAAGCCUGAUCCAGCAAUGCCGCGUGCAGGAAGAAGGCCUUCGGGUUGUAAACUGCUUUUGUACGGAACGAAACGGCUCUGGUUAAUACCCGGGGCUAAUGACGGUACCGUAAGAAUAAGCACCGGCUAACUACGUG